CCCCAACACAUAUACAGCAGAGGACUGUCUGGUUUGGCCUGAGUGAGAGAAGAUGCACCUAACCCUGGGAGAGACGAGUUCCUAUGGAGUGGAGGCCUGAGAUGCAGUCAGGAUGUGAUGUGGUUGGGGCACCUGACACUGACCUUCUUCACUAGGCCAGGUGAGGAAAAAAAUCGAUAAAGAUCCAGAAAGAUGAGAGGCAACGGAAAGAGCCUUGUUUCAUGUGUUAACAUCUUGGAGCUGGGAUGAAAUGAAGCGUCACAGUCACCAUGGUUACAUCCGAAGUGAAGAAGAGGUGGUGAUAGCAUGAGCUCCUGGAUGAAGAGCUAUUGGCAAUUUAUGGCUACUGAUUGGAGAAGAGUCAGUUUUCUUCAGACGUGUGGGCCCUGGUAUGCAACUCAUAUUCUAGUGGAUAGUCCUACGCCACUGAACAUAUGUACAGCAAUACUGUACUUAGUACAAAAGUUAUGCAAAUGUCAUGGAGACUGGGCAGGGGGUUCAGGAGGAGUGUCAUGGGAGGAAAGAUCGAAUGUGAUCAAAAUUUAUUGUAUUUUAUAUGGAAUUCUCAAAGAAUAAUAAAAAUAUACUAAAAGACUUAUUUAGGGAUUGGCAGAUUUUAAACAUAUGUAUUUUUGUAUGAAAAAGUAAGUUCAUAUUCAAUGGUAUAUAUUCAACUUCAGAUUUCUCUGAAUGUAGAAUUUCCUCUUAAUUUUUGCCAAUUAAGCCUAACUUUAAACAACCAUUAAUAUUUUGUCUGAGACAACUAUAAAAUCCAACUUAGUAAAAUUCAGAUAUGAAAUUUAAGAAAGACAGAGCUCAAAAUAAUUCUUAAGCAUGUAAAAAUAAAAAAACCCACAAAUUUGCAUAAAUUUACUUAUUUGCUAUUAUAGUAUGAGACUUCUGGUUGCUCUAGGUCCUUUUCAACACAUGAUAUUGUCAGACUUUUUCAUUUUAGUCAUUCUGAAGAACACACAUCUUACUGUAGCUGUAAUGUACAUAUCUCUCUGGUUACUAAUAAACUCACAUAAAUCUGAAUAUCAUUGGAUAUUAGGUUUUCCUCUUUAUGAGUUGCCAAAAUGAGCGUUUUUUCUUGUUCCUUUGAGUUGUCUAGGUUUUCUUGUUCCUUUGAGUUGUCUAGAUUUUCUUGUUCCUUUGAGUUGUCUAGAUUAUCAAGGAUUCUGGACACAGCUCUUUGAUCAGAGUGCAAGUGAACAUAGAAUUUCUAAAUUCACACUGUGAAAUCCUAACCCCUCAUAUAAUAAAAUUUGGAGGUAGAGACUUAGGGAGUGGAUUGGAUGCUGAACCUUCCUAAAGCUGAGCCCUAGCAUUACAGAUGCCCAGAGAGCAUCAGCGGGCUUCCUAUAAUCUGAGAACGGGGUGGACAGAAGGCAGCCAGCUGACCACUGAGUCCUCAGGGGACAGUGUCUUCAGGCGUCCUGGACUUAAUCAGCCUCCAGAACUCUGACAGAUGAAUGUGUGCUGGUUGUAAACCACACAGUCUGUAUCAACAUGUUGUAGCAUCCUGAAGGGACUCAUGUGCCCUGGCAGAAUUCUCAUAUUCUCUCCCUCCCUCCCUCUUCUCUCUUUCCCCUGGGUUUCCAUUCUCUCUUUUAAUGAAUGAACCCUGCCUCCCAAUUUCAUCUCCCUAAUUUCUACCUCAUUCAUCUUCUUUUGGGUGAGUGUCCUUUUUUAAUGAUGUUUUUUCCUUUUUCUAAGUUAGAAGUCUUAUGCAGUCUCGUACUGGUACAAACUCUCUGGGAUUCAUUGUCUUUAAGGUUUGAGGGCAUGCACUCUCUUUUUAAGAAGAUGACUCCCAUUGACCCACCCCUUCUUGUGAAAGCAUCAUCUUUCAGUGCCUGCUUGGGAUGUUAUUGUGGCCACAUGUUAAGUUUUAAAAAGAAAAUGGAAUCCAGCAAUGGCUUUGGAGUGGCCCAGUCUCUUCCUGGCUUCAGCUGGAGGGAAAUGAGAAGUGAGCCUGGGGUAGCCACGGCCUUCCACUGACCAUCAGCCUGAUCUGAACUCACUUUUCUCCUUGGAGGGCCCAGUGCGAUUCAACACAGUAGGCUCAAUAUAAUGUUGCUGCUUCUCCAAAACACUGCCCCCAUUCCAUACAAAAGCAGAAAGAAGGCCCGUGAAAGGAGGGAUGUCAGCGAGAGAGGGGAUGAGGGAGAGGCAGAAAGCAAGACCUAGAUGUGAACUAAGCGUAUGACACACUUGAAACCACCUUGUGGAAUCCGGCAUUACCCACGAUGAAUACAUGCCAAUGAAAGAAAUAAAAGCUAUAUUGUGUUUAAAACAAAACAAAGCACAAC